UACGUAGGGUGCGAGCGUUAAUCGGAAUUACUGGGCGUAAAGCGUGCGCAGGCGGUGAUGUAAGACAGAUGUGAAAUCCCCGGGCUUAACCUGGGAAUGGCAUUGGUGACUGCACGGCUAGAGUGUGUCAGAGGGGGGUAGAAUUCCACGUGUAGCAGUGAAAUGCGUAGAGAUGUGGAGGAAUACCGAUGGCGAAGGCAGCCCCCUGGGAUAACACUGACGCUCAUGCACGAAAGCGUGGGGAGCAAACAGG
rnacentral:rRNA from 1 species